rnacentral:rRNA from 1 species
UACGUAGGUGACAAGCGUUAUCCGGAAUUACUGGGCGUAAAGCGCACGCAGGCGGCCGAGUAAGUCUGACGUGAAAUCUCCCGGCUUAACCGGGAGCGGUCGUUGGAAACUACUUGGCUUGAGGCGAUGAGAGGGGUGUGGAACUCCCGGUAUAGUGGUGGAAUGCGUAGAUAUCGGGAGGAACAUCAGUGGCGAAAGCGGCACCCUGGCAUUAGCCUGACGCUCAGGUGCGAAAGCGUGGGGAGCGAACGGG